UGGGGCACCGCCAAUGCCGCCCCCCCCCGCCGCCCCCCAGGGGCCGUGUCUGGAUUUGAACAAAUCUCAGAGGCCCCAGGACGCUGCGGGCCCAGCCGCCAGAGUCUUCCUUCCCCUGGGGGCCUAUUCAGUAGGCAAAACGGGUCCAGAUCCCGGGCCGCGGUUUCCUCCCAGGCGAAUCCCGGAGCCGGUUUCUGGGUGGCUGACGGCAUUUUUCGGGCGUUGGCACGGAGCCAGGCUGGGAGCUGGGUGAAAGCCGCCCUGCAGGCACCAGGCGGGGUUGUCUGGUUGGUGGACUGUUUCUAGGGAGAAGAGGCUGUGGGAGCUGCGGCAGGCACCGGCCUCACCCCCCGGCGGGCCUCCCCGGCACAUGCAGCUGGUUCGGGGGCCUCGGCCGGCCGGCCCUGGUCCUCAGGCUUGUGAGGGUUUUUCCAGUGAGCUCCCAGCAGACAACAUUAUUCACAGGGCUGGCCUCGCCCCACCUUGCCCAAGUCCAAGGGGGCGGCCGCCCAAGCGCAUCCGGAGCUCCGUUCUCGCCGAGAGCGUUCCACGGGCCCAUCCUGGGGACGCGCUGCUGGGAAGAGUUCCUCAUUUUUCAUUUCCUUCCCCAGAGCACGGCGCACUGCCUGUGAUCUCAGCUGAACAGAGUGCCCUAUUCAGAGACAAAGGGGAAACAGUGUUUAUAGCCCGGACCUGCUGGGGUAGAUUGGGAAAGCCCCUCUGGCGCUGUGCACAACCGCCCUUCCUGGGACGAUAUCAGAUUUCAGGAGUGGAUCCUGUACUGGGGUGUGGGUCCCCGGCUGGGGCGGCUGUGGGCUCGGGGAGGGCCUGCGUGCUCUGAGCAGCUGCCUGAGAGGGGCCCCUGGCCCGCUCAGCGGCCUGUCCCGGGGGCAGGCUCCACGGCCACCCGGCCAGCUGUGGGGGACGGCACCCGGUGCAGGUGUUGCAGACUCGGGGAUGUGGCCCGCUGCACGGACUCCAGUGUUUCCUCCCCUCUGUCUGGCCCUGGGCCUCCAGGCCGGCCCUGGACAGAGGACCUUCAUGGACUCAGGUCCGGCUGACCAGGUCCUCCAGGGCCGAGGGCCGGACCUCGGGGCUGGUAACGUGUCUGUGGGUGGUGACUGACCGCCACCGGACGCUAGACGUGUGCUCCCACCCAGGGUGGACGGCCUGCCUAGGACAUGUUCACCAGGCUUCAAGGAAAACCUGUGCUGACCGGAGCCCCGUCUCAGAGCCAGGGAACCAGGGGUGCGGGAUCCUACCCUGCAGUGGGUGAGGGGCUCCCAUCCCCAAGACAAGGGAGACGGGGCUGCCGCUACCAGGCACAUGGCGCAGAAUCGUUCCCAAGGGAAGGAGACCUGCACCUGCAACUGCCCCAAAUGCUGCUCCCUGGUCUGGGCCUCUGCUCUCCCUGCCGGCCUUGCCCCGCUGCCUCUCAG
rnacentral:lncRNA from 1 species